AUCCCUCUCUUUCUCAAUUUCUAUCCUACUCUUCUCAAUCUUCAUCUCACGCCUUCGAUCCCUAACACUACUUUGAACAACAGCCGCAAGAAAUCCAUCAAGCCAACCCGUGCUCAGUCGUCGUUGAACCCAACACUGUGAUCCCUCGUGCCCAGCGUUGUUGUCGUCGAACCACCACGUGCCCAACCUUGUCGUCGUUGAACCACCACUAGAAGAAAUCCAUCGUCGUUGUGCUUGCCACCACCGUAAACCCACCCAUGCUCAGUAGUCAUCGAACCCACCACUGCUUUUGUGCUUGCCACUAGAAGGUCCGUCCCAACCAUCGCCAUCACCGUGCUCAGCCGUGUCUAUCUCGUAAUCUUGGAUCUGUUUAAAGCUCGUUGCCAGAUCUGCAUUCAAAGCGCCGCUCAUUGAACACCUUGAACGAUUCUGAAGUUGCCCAUUGAAUUCAAUGUUGGCAGUUUGUCCAUUGAAUACCUUGAACGAUUUCCAGCUGAAGAUAUUCUCAUUAGAGAUGGUAUUUCUUCCAAAGACUUUGUAAUUGAACUAUUUUCGCUCACAUUUGUUCGAUUUAACAGUAGUGAAGUAUGUCGAUCUCAAUGUUGGCAGCAUCCUAAUGUUAUUCCGAUGUGAAGAAGAAAGUGAAUGAUGCAGAUAGAAGUUAAAGCACCUUGAAGAAAUGACUCCUCUAGCAUACUACAACGUGGAAGACAAAGACAUAUAUCAAUUAUUACAAAUAUCAAACUUAAGUUAUAAAAGGUUAGAGCACCUUCAAGAUAUUUUAAUCUUUUGGAUGCGAUGAAGCUUUACAACUAAUAGUCACUGAGUUUAUCUCCACUUUUGAAGGACAUACUUUGCUGGUAGUCUACUAUAUGGGAACGGAACUGUGGUGGUGAACAUGGAAAGGGGCUGGUGGGAUCUUAUAUUCCACAAGAUUAGAGUAGUUUUUGGCUUUGGAAUAUGAUUAGGAAAUAUAGACCACUCACUUCAAAGUUUAAAGAACCCAUUUGAAAUCAAGCUCCAAAUUUCGUACAAGUGAUAGUACCUGAGAUCUCAACAAGAGGUAAUUAGUUGGGCUUAAUUUUAAUGAAAUUCUACCAUUUAUAUAAAAUGUAUUUUUUUUUAAU